rnacentral:rRNA from 1 species
UACGAAGGGGGCUAGCGUUGCUCGGAAUUACUGGGCGUAAAGCGCACGUAGGCGGCUUUGCGAGUUAGAGGUGAAAGCCCGGGGCUCAACUCCGGAAUUGCCUUUAAAACUGCAUCGCUAGAAUUGUGGAGAGGUAAGUGGAAUUCCGAGUGUAGAGGUGAAAUUCGUAGAUAUUCGGAAGAACACCAGUGGCGAAGGCGACUUACUGGACACAUAUUGACGCUGAGGUGCGAAAGCGUGGGGAGCAAACAGG